AUUGAACGCUGGCGGCAGGCCUAACACAUGCAAGUCGAGCGGAUGAGUGGAGCUUGCUCCAUGAUUCAGCGGCGGACGGGUGAGUAAUGCCUAGGAAUCUGCCUGGUAGUGGGGGACAACGUUUCGAAAGGAACGCUAAUACCGCAUACGGCCUACGGGAGAAAGCAGGGGACCUUCGGGCCUUGCGCUAUCAGAUGAGCCUAGGUCGGAUUAGCUAGUUGGUGAGGUAAAGGCUCACCAAGGCGACGAUCCGUAACUGGUCUGAGAGGAUGAUCAGUCACACUGGAACUGAGACACGGUCCAGACUCCUACGGGAGGCAGCAGUGGGGAAUAUUGGACAAUGGGCGAAAGCCUGAUCCAGCCAUGCCGCGUGUGUGAAGAAGGUCUUCGGAUUGUAAAGCACUUUAAGUUGGGAGGAAGGGCAGUAAGCUAAUACCUUGCUGUUUUGACGUUACCGACAGAAUAAGCACCGGCUAACUCUGUGCCAGCCGCCGCAGUAAGAC
rnacentral:rRNA from 1 species